rnacentral:rRNA from 1 species
UACGGGGGGGGCAAGCGUUGUUCGGAAUUACUGGGCGUAAAGGGCGCGUAGGCGGCCUUCUAAGUCGGACGUGAAAUCCCCGGGCUCAACCCGGGAACUGCGUCCGAUACUGGAAGGCUUGAAUCCGGGAGAGGGAUGCGGAAUUCCAGGUGUAGCGGUGAAAUGCGUAGAUAUCGGGAAGAACACCGAUGGCGAAGGCAGCUCUCUGGGACGGUACUGACGCUGAGACGCGAAAGCGUGGGGAGCGAACAGG